UCUACACAUUGAAAUCCAUCAAUCAGCACUAAUUCUGCACUUAAGCUUAAUUUAACCAAAUUGCAAAGCUAACUUUACCUUCUAAACUCCAAAUCCAUUGAGGUAAAGUUCCAAAAGCAGUGUGCUAUGCUUGAAGAUCAAGCUCAGAUCCAAAAUCCAGCUUCUUCAAAUAAUUGAAUCAACAAAACCCCAUAAGUUCACAAUUCUGCCCAAAAACACCAGCAGCAAA
rnacentral:lncRNA from 1 species